UACAGAGGGGGCAAGCGUUGUUCGGAAUUACUGGGCGUAAAGGGCGCGUAGGUGGCCACCUAAGUCCGACGUGAAAUCCCUCGGCUCAACCGGGGAACUGCGUCUGAUACUGGGCGGCUUGAAUUCGGGAGAGGGAUGCGGAAUUCCAGGUGUAGCGGUGAAAUGCGUAGAUAUCGGGAGGAACACCAAUUGCGAAGGCAGCUCGCUGGGACGUCGCUGACGCUGAGACGCGAAAGCGUGGGGAGCAAACAGG
rnacentral:rRNA from 1 species